rnacentral:rRNA from 1 species
UACGAAGGGUGCAAGCGUUAUUCGGAGUUACUGGGCGUAAAGAGCAUGUAGGUGGUUUGUUAAGUCGCAGGUUAAAGAUCCCAGCUUAACUGGGAAAAGGCAAGCGAAACUGGCAGACUAGAGUGUAAGAGAGGGAAGUAGAAUUCUCGGAGUAGCGGUAAAAUGCGUAGAUCUCGAGAGGAAUACCGAAGGCGAAGGCAGCUUCUUGGCUUACAACUGACACUUAAGUGCGAAAGCGUGGGGAGCAAACAGG